rnacentral:rRNA from 1 species
GACGAACGCUGGCGGCGUGCUUAACACAUGCAAGUCGAACGGACCUUCGGGUUAGUGGCGAACGGGUGAGUAACACGUGGGUGAUCUGCCCUGCACUUUGGGAUAAGCCUGGGAAACUGGGUCUAAUACCGAAUAGGACCACGGCACUCAUGUGCUGUGGUGGAAAGCUUUUGCGGUGUGGGAUGGGCCCGCGGCCUAUCAGCUUGUUGGUGGGGUAAUGGCCUACCAAGGCGACGACGGGUAGCCGGCCUGAGAGGGUGACCGGCCACACUGGGACUGAGAUACGGCCCAGACUCCUACGGGAGGCAGCAGUGGGGAAUAUUGCACAAUGGGCGCAAGCCUGAUGCAGCGACGCCGCGUGAGGGAUGACGGCCUUCGGGUUGUAAACCUCUUUCGCCAGGGACGAAGCGCAAGUGACGGUACCUGGAGAAGAAGGACCGGCCAACUACGUGCCAGCAGCCGCCGUAACAC